rnacentral:rRNA from 1 species
AGUGAACGCUGGCGGUAGGCCUAACACAUGCAAGUCGAACGGCAGCACAGUAAGAGCUUGCUCUUACGGGUGGCGAGUGGCGGACGGGUGAGGAAUACGUCGGAAUCUACUUUUUCGUGGGGGAUAACGUAGGGAAACUUACGCUAAUACCGCAUACGACCUACGGGUGAAAGCAGGGGAUCUUCGGACCUUGCGCGAUUGAAUGAGCCGAUGUCGGAUUAGCUAGUUGGCGGGGUAAAGGCCCACCAAGGCGACGAUCCGUAGCUGGUCUGAGAGGAUGAUCAGCCACACUGGAACUGAGACACGGUCCAGACUCCUACGGGAGGCAGCAGUGGGGAAUAUUGGACAAUGGGCGCAAGCCUGAUCCAGCCAUACCGCGUGGGUGAGGAAGGCCUUCGGGUUGUAAAGCCCUUUUGUUGGGAAAGAAAAGCAGCAGGUUAAUACCCCACUGUUCUGACGGUACCCAAAGAAUAAGCACCGGCUAACUUCGUG